UCACUUCCACCCGCGAGCAUUUCUGCAUUUCUGCCAUUCUCGCGCUCCGCUAGGGUUCCGGCGGGCUCCCACCGUCUCUCCUCGGAGGUGCAAUUCCGGCCGUCCUUCUCGCUCGCUCGCUGGAAAUUCACCGCCCAUCUUCGGUUUGCCCGCCGCCCGUCUCCGGUGGACCUCCGAUCUAUCUACGGCGUCGUUGGCCUCCUCCUUGCUUUACGGUCGAUCUGUCGCUCACAUCGAUCAAUUGCACAAUCGAGCUCCGAAGAUGUUGUGGGUCGACGAGUACCGCCCGAAGACGCUGGACCAGGGUUGGGGGACCGCUGAUUGUGCUGUAUAGGUAUGUGAAUCGCAAGUUCAGCAAUCAGUAUAAGGCCACGAUCGGAGCUGAUUUCUUGACGAAGGAAGUUCAGUUUGAGGAUAGGUUGUUCCCAUUGCAGUUCCCGAACGAGGUGUGAAUUGAGCGUCUCCAUUUUUGAAUCGGGUGGUUCCUUUCAGUCGUGCAGAGCUUGAGGAUUGAGCAGAAGAAAGCCUAAUUUAAUUGGCUGCAUACAAAGGAUAUGCUGACACAAUCAAAUUACUUGUUUUUAGAGAUGCAUCCCAGGGAAGACAAGAUAAAGAAGGUGUAGUGAGUAUACGCAUGGCAAUCGUACUUCUGUUUUGUUGGUCCUCAUGAUGAGAUGGUUUAUCAGUAGCUCAGAUCCAUGUAUAAAACCCAUGAGCACUUCUGUUGGAUAAUCUUAGAAGAUGUUGUGAUUUUGGCAUGCUGUAUUAGGUUUUGCACUUUAUUCGAUCAAAGCAAGUUUUAAUGCUAAGAAUCGGAGCAAUCAUUGUUUCUAAUGUGGUA